GACGAACGCUGGCGGCGUGCUUAACACAUGCAAGUCGAACGAUGAAGCCGGAGCUUGCUCUGGUGAAUUAGUGGCGAACGGGUGAGUAACACGUGAGUAACCUGCCCUUGACUCUGGGAUAACUGCUAGAAAUGGUAGCUAAUACCGGAUACGACCCUCGGAGGCAUCUCCAGGGGGUGGAAAGAAUUUCGGUCAAGGAUGGACUCGCGGCCUACCAGCUAGUUGGUGAGGUAACGGCGCACCAAGGCGACGACGGGUAGCCGGCCUGAGAGGGUGACCGGCCACACUGGGACUGAGACACGGCCCCGACUCCUACGGGAGGCAGCAGUGGGGAAUAUUGCACAAUGGGCGCAAGCCUGAUGCAGCAACGCCGCGUGAGGGAUGACGGCCUUCGGGUUGUAAACCUCUUUUAGUAGGGAAGAAGCGAAAGUGACGGUACCUGCAGAAAAAGCACCGGCUAACUACGUGCCAGCAGCCGCCGUAA
rnacentral:rRNA from 1 species